rnacentral:rRNA from 1 species
UUGACCUCAAAUCAGGUAGGAUUACCCGCUGAACUUAAGCAUAUCAAUAAGCGGAGGAAAAGAAACCAACAGGGAUUGCCUUAGUAACGGCGAGUGAAGCGGCAAAAGCUCAAAUUUGAAAUCUAGCACCUUCGGUGUUCGAGUUGUAAUUUGAAGAAGGUAACCUUGGGAUUGGCUCUUGUCUAUGUUUCUUGGAACAGAACGUCACAGAGGGUGAGAAUCCCGUGCGAUGAGAUGACCAAUUCUAUGUAAGGUGCUUUCGAAGAGUCGAGUUGUUUGGGAAUGCAGCUCUAAGUGGGUGGUAAAUUCCAUCUAAAGCUAAAUAUUGGCGAGAGACCGAUAGCGAACAAGUACAGUGAUGGAAAGAUGAAAAGAACUUUGAAAAGAGAGUGAAAAAGUACGUGAAAUUGUUGAAAGGGAAGGAUAUGAGAUCAGACUUGGUGUUUUGCAACCUUAUCUUCGGAUGGGGCCCCUGCAGUUCAUCGGGCCAGCAUCAGUUUGGAUGGUAGGAUAAUGACAUUGGAAUGUGACUUGGCUUCGGUUAAGUGUUAUAGCCCUUGUUGAUACUGCCUGUCUAGACUGAGGACUG